rnacentral:rRNA from 1 species
GGGAAUCUUCCACAAUGGGCGAAAGCCUGAUGGAGCAACGCCGCGUGGGUGAAGAAGGUCUUCGGAUCGUAAAACCCUGUUGCGGGGGAAAAAAGGCAGCAUCAGGAAAUGGGUGCUGACUGAUGGUGCCCCGCCAGAAAGUCACGGCUAACUACGUGCCAGCAGCCGCGGUAAUACGUAGGUGGCGAGCGUUAUCCGGAAUGAUUGGGCGUAAAGGGUGCGCAGGCGGUCCUGCAAGUCUGGAGUGAAACGCAUGAGCUCAACUCAUGCAUGGCUUUGGAAACUGGAGGACUGGAGAGCAGGAGAGGGCGGUGGAACUCCAUGUGUAGCGGUAAAAUGCGUAGAUAUAUGGAAGAACACCAGUGGCGAAGGCGGCCGCCUGGCCUGUUGCUGACGCUGAGGCACGAAAGCGUGGGGAGCAAAUAGG